rnacentral:rRNA from 1 species
UACGUAGGGUGCAAGCGUUAAUCGGAAUUACUGGGCGUAAAGCGUGCGCAGGCGGUUAUGUAAGACAGGUGUGAAAUCCCCGGGCUUAACCUGGGAACUGCAUUUGUGACUGCAUAGCUAGAGUACGGUAGAGGGGGAUGGAAUUCCGCGUGUAGCAGUGAAAUGCGUAGAUAUGCGGAGGAACACCGAUGGCGAAGGCAAUCCCCUGGACCUGUACUGACGCUCAUGCACGAAAGCGUGGUGAGCAAACCGG